AGGCCUAACACAUGCAAGUCGAGCGGCAGCACAGAGGAACUUGUUCCUUGGGUGGCGAGCGGCGGACGGGUGAGUAAUGCCUAGGAAAUUGCCCUGAUGUGGGGGAUAACCAUUGGAAACGAUGGCUAAUACCGCAUGAUGCCUACGGGCCAAAGAGGGGGACCUUCGGGCCUCUCGCGUCAGGAUAUGCCUAGGUGGGAUUAGCUAGUUGGUGAGGUAAUGGCUCACCAAGGCGACGAUCCCUAGCUGGUCUGAGAGGAUGAUCAGCCUCACUGGAACUGAGACACGGUCCAGACUCCUACGGGAGGCAGCAGUGGGGAAUAUUGCACAAUGGGCGCAAGCCUGAUGCAGCCAUGCCGCGUGUAUGAAGAAGGCCUUCGGGUUGUAAAGUACUUUCAGUCGUGAGGAAGGUGGUGUUGUUAAUAGCAGCAUCAUUUGACGUUAGCGACAGAAGAAGCACCGGCUAACUCCGUGCCAGCAGCCGCGGUAAUACGGAGGGUGCGAGCGUUAAUCGGAAUUACUGGGCGUAAAGCGCAUGCAGGUGGUGGAUUAAGUCAGAUGUGAAAGCCCGGGGCUCAACCUCGGAACCGCAUUUGAAACUGGUUCACUAGAGUACUGUAGAGGGGGGUAGAAUUUCAGGUGUAGCGGUGAAAUGCGUAGAGAUCUGAAGGAAUACCGGUGGCGAAGGCGGCCCCCUGGACAGAUACUGACACUCAGAUGCGAAAGCGUGGGGAGCAAACAGGAUUAGAUACCCUGGUAGUCCACGCCGUAAACGAUGUCUACUUGGAGGUUGUGGCCUUGAGCCGUGGCUUUCGGAUAUAACGCGUUAAGUAGACCGC
rnacentral:rRNA from 1 species